GACGAACGCUGGCGGCGUGCCUAAUACAUGCAAGUCGAACGCAGUGGGGACGGGUGCGUAACACGUGGGUAACCUCCCCAUCAGAGGGGAUAACACUUGGAAACAGGUGCUAAACCGAUACUGCUGGAUGGACCCGCGGUGCAUUAGCUAGUUGGUGAGGUAACGGCUCACAAAGGCCACGAUGCAUAGCCGACAGGGGAGGGGGAGCGGCCACACUGGGACUGUGAAACGGCCCAGACUCCUACGGGAGGCAGCAGUAGGGAAUCUUCGGAAAUGGACGAAAGUCUGACCGAGAAACGCCGCGUGAGUGAAGAAGGGUUUCGGAUCGUAAAACUCUGUUGUUAGAGAAGCGGUAUCUAACCAGAAAGCCACGGCUAACUACGUGCCAGCAGCCGCGGUAAUUC
rnacentral:rRNA from 1 species